ACUCAAAUGAAUUGACGGGGACCCGCACAAGCAGCGGAGCAUGUGGUUUAAUUCGAAGCAACGCGAAGAACCUUACCAGGGCUUGACAUCCCUCUGACCGCUUCUUAAUCGAAGCUUCCCUUCGGGGCAGAGGAGACAGGUGGUGCAUGGUUGUCGUCAGCUCGUGUCGUGAGAUGUUGGGUUAAGUCCCGCAACGAGCGCAACCCUUGUCAUUAGUUGCCAUCAGGUUAAGCUGGGCACUCUAGUGAGACCGCCGGGGAUAACUCGGAGGAAGGUGGGGAUGACGUCAAAUCAUCAUGCCCCUUAUGUCCUGGGCUACACACGUGCUACAAUGGUCGGUACAGCGAGAAGCAAACCUGUGAAGGGGAGCAAAACUUCAAAACCGGCCCCAGUUCGGAUUGCAGGCUGAAACCCGCCUGCAUGAAGUCGGAGUUGCUAGUAAUCGUGAAUCAGAAUGUCACGGUGAAUGCGUUCCCGGGUCUUGCACACACCGCCCGU
rnacentral:rRNA from 1 species